GAGUUUGAUCCUGGCUCAGAGCGAACGCUGGCGGCAGGCUUAACACAUGCAAGUCGAACGGACCCUUCGGGGUUAGUGGCGGACGGGUGAGUAACACGUGGGAACGUGCCCUUAGGUUCGGAACAACACAGGGAAACUUGUGCUAAUACCGGAUGUGCCCUUCGGGGGAAAGAUUUAUCGCCUUUGGAGCGGCCCGCGUCUGAUUAGCUAGUUGGUGAGGUAAAGGCUCACCAAGGCGACGAUCAGUAGCUGGUCUGAGAGGAUGGCCAGCCACAUUGGGACUGAGACACGGCCCAAACUCCUACGGGAGGCAGCAGUGGGGAAUCUUGCGCAAUGGGCGAAAGCCUGACGCAGCCAUGCCGCGUGGAUGAUGAAGGUCUUAGGAUUGUAAAAUCCUUUCAGCGGGACGAUAAUGACGGUACCCGCACGAAGAAGCCCCGGCUAACUUCGUGCCAGCCGCCGCAGUAAC
rnacentral:rRNA from 1 species